ACAGCAGUAGCCGCGGGAACACGUAGGGUGCGAGCGUUAAUCGGAAUUACUGGGCGUAAAGCGUGCGCAGGCGGUUGUGUAAGACAGGUGUGAAAUCCCCGGGCUUAACCUGGGAACUGCGCUUGUGACUGCACAGCUAGAGUAUGGCAGAGGGGGGUGGAAUUCCACGUGUAGCAGUGAAAUGCGUAGAGAUGUGGAGGAACACCGAUGGCGAAGGCAGCCCCCUGGGCCAAUACUGACGCUCAUGCACGAAAGCGUGGGGAGCAAACAGGAUUAGAUACCCCCGUAGUCCCUGUCUCUUAUAC
rnacentral:rRNA from 1 species